CUGGACCAGGCAGAAGUGGCUCCAGGAAUCCGGCUGGCUGGGGGUUGGUUCUUUCCUUGUAACCGGAUCUCCUGGCAACCUCCCACUGACUGAGUUUGGUGUUUUUUCAUAAGUUUCUCUCUCUCUGUCUUUCUUCUCCCUCCUCCACCUCUGUCUCUCCCUCUUCCUCUUCCUCUGGAAUUCCCCGUGUUCACCCACCCCCUCGGAGCCCCCAUUUGCCCAGUGCCCCCCACUCACCUUCCCUGCCCCUCCCUGUCCCUGUCCCUCCCAUCCUGGGCCCCCCCCCCACCUCUGUUUGUGAGCAGUCCAAGGAGCUCACUUUCUGCCCCACAGCUGGGUCUCAGGAGCUUCCCCUCUGUCCCCUGUGCCCCAGGAUGUCACAGUGGAGCCUGUCCUGGCUGGGCCUGGGGCAGCUGGCUGCCUCCCCGUGGCUGCUCCUGUUGCUGGCCGGGGCCACCUGGCUGCUGGCCCGCGUCCUGGCCUGGAGCCACCGCUUGCAUGACAUAUGCUGCCGCCUCCGGUGUUUCCCGCAGCCCCCAAAACAGAGCUGGUUUGGGGGUCACGUGGGCCUGGUGAAGAGCAAUGAGGAAGGCUUGCGGAUGAUAGAGGAUCUGGGCCACCACUUCCGUGAUGUUCACUUCUGGUGGAUCGGGCCCUUCUACCCUGUACUGUGACUCGUCCACCCUACCUUUGUUGCUCCCCUGCUCCAGGCACCGGCCACCAUCAUACCCAAGGAUAUGUUUUUCUACAACCUCCUGAAGCCCUGGCUGGGGGAUGGGCUCCUGCUGAGUGCUGGUGACAAGUGGAGCCACCACCGCUGCUUGCUGACACCUGCCUUCCAUUUUGAAAUCUUGAAACCCUAUGUGAAGAUUUUCAACAAAAGCGCAGGCAUCAUGCAUGCCAAGUGGCAGUGCCUGGCCUUGGAAGGCAGCACCCAUCUAGACAUGUUUGAGCACAUCAGCCUCAUGAUGUGCUCUGCAAAAAUGUGUCUGCAAAAUGUGUCUUCAGUUUUGACAGCAAUUGCCAGGAGAGUCCCAGUGAAUAUAUUGCUGCCAUCUUGGAGCUCAGUGCCCUUGUGGUGAAAUGGCAGGAGCAGAUCUUCCUGCACGUGGACUUCCUGUACAAUCUCACCCCCAAUGGGUGGCGCUUCCGCAGGGCCUGCAACAUGGUGCACAACUUCACAGAUGCUGUCAUCCAGGAGGGGCGCCGUGCCCUCAUUAGUGGGGGUUCCCAUGACUUCCUCAAGGCCAAGGCUAAGGCCAAGACUUUGGACUUCAUUGAUAUGCUCCUGCUGGCCAAGGAUGAAGAUGGAAAAUAAUUGUCAGAUGAGGACAUCUGAGCUGAGGCUGAUACCUUCAUGUUUGAGGGCCAUGACACCACAGCCAGUGGCCUCUCCUGGGUCCUGUACAACCUUGCAAAGCACCCAGAAUACCAGGAACGCUGUCAGCAGGAGGUGCAAGAGCUCCUGAGGGACCGUGAGCCUCAAGAGAUUGAAUGGGACGACCUGGCCCAGCUGCCCUUCCUGACCAUGUGCAUCAAGGAGAGUCUGAGGCUGCACCCCCCGGUUACAGUCAUUGCCCGCCGCUGUACGCAGGACGUCGGGCUCCCUGAUGGCCGGGUCAUCCCCAAAGGGAGCAUCUGUGUCAUCAGCAUCUUUGGGAUUCAUCACAACCCGUCUAUCUGGCCGGACCCUGAGGUGUAUAAAUCCCUUCUGCUUGACCCAGAAAUCCCCCAGAAGAGGUCUCCCCUGGCUUUUAUUCCCUUCUCCACGGGGCCCAGGAACUGCAUUGGGCAGACGUUCGCCAUGACCGAGAUGAAGGUGGUCCUGGCGCUCACGCUGCUGCGCUUCCGGGUCCUGCCCAACGAGGAGGAGCCGUGCAGGAUGCCGGAGCUCAUCCUGCGCGCAGAGGGUGGACUUCGGCUGCGCGUGGAGGCACUGAGCGCGGGCUUCCGGUGA